rnacentral:rRNA from 1 species
UGGGGAAUAUUGCACAAUGGACGAAAGUCUGAUGCAGCAAUGCCGCGUGUGUGAAGAAGGCCUUAGGGUUGUAAAGCACUUUCAGACGUGAGGAAAAGUUAGCUAUUAAUACUAGUUAGCCCUGACGUUAACGUCAGAAGAAGGACCGGCUAACUCCGUGCCAGCAGCCGCGGUAAUACGGAGGGUCCAAGCGUUAAUCGGAAUUACUGGGCGUAAAGCGCGCGUAGGCGGAUAUUUAAGUCAGAUGUGAAAUCCCUGGGCUCAACCUAGGAACUGCAUUUGAAACUGGAUAUCUAGAGUAUGGUAGAGGUGAGUGGAAUUUCAGGUGUAGCGGUGAAAUGCGUAGAGAUCUGAAGGAACAUCAGUGGCGAAGGCGACUCACUGGGCCAUUACUGACGCUGAGGUGCGAAAGCGUGGGUAGCAAACA